AGCGGUUCACUUAGGUGUUGAGCGGUUAUCUAUUUUUAUUUGGCUUAGAUUCUGUUAUCUUUUUGGUCUAUAAAUAGACCCAGUGCGAUUCAAAUUGGAAUCUUUUUGGCUAGUAGAGACGUCCAGAGCUAUUCUAUACACCUUGGAGGAGGUUCCUUGGAUGCUUAGGUUCCAAUCUACCAAAUUUAGGGUUUAUUCUUCCA
rnacentral:lncRNA from 1 species